GGCUCAGGACAACGCUGGCGGCGUGCUUAACACAUGCAAGUCGAACGGAAAGGCCCUGCUUGCAGGGUACUCGAGUGGCGAACGGGUGAGUAACACGUGGGUGAUCUGCCCUGCACUUCGGGAUAAGCCUGGGAAACUGGGUCUAAUACCGGAUAGGAGCCAUUUUUAGUGUGAUGGUUGGAAAGUUUUUCGGUGUAGGAUGAGCUCGCGGCCUAUCAGCUUGUUGGUGGGUAAUGCCUACAGCGGCGACGGUAGCCGGCCUGAGAGGGUGGACGGCCACAUUGGGACUGAGAUACGGCCCAG
rnacentral:rRNA from 1 species